rnacentral:rRNA from 1 species
UACGGAGGGAGCUAGCGUUGUUCGGAAUUACUGGGCGUAAAGCGCACGUAGGCGGCUUUGUAAGUUAGAGGUGAAAGCCUGGGGCUCAACUCCAGAACUGCCUUUAAAACUGCAUCGCUUGAAUCCAGGAGAGGUGAGUGGAAUUCCGAGUGUAGAGGUGAAAUUCGUAGAUAUCGGGAGGAACACCGGUGGCGAAGGCGGCGACCUGGGUCGAUACUGACGCUGAGGUGCGAAAGCGUGGGGAGCAAACAGG